rnacentral:ncRNA from 1 species
UUAUUGUCACCAGGCCUUGGUGAACGGGAAAUCCGGUGUGAUGCCGGUGCGGCCCUCGCCACUGUGAAUCGGGAAGUCCGGCUCCAGCCCUAGCGGGCAGCCACUGGGUCUCAGUGACCCGGGAAGGCGGAGUCCGGGCGGUGGUACCCGUCAGCCAGGAGACCGGCCAAGGCGCGUCAACCAUC